GGGGGUUGUGAGAGAAUGAGGAGGUGAAAGGCUGUCUGAUUCUAUUUUGACUCCUUCAGGGUGAAGAGGGUGAUUUUGGACUGGAUGGAGUCGACGGAGAGCAGGUAACCAGCUAGCUUCAUCUACACCAUCUUACAUGUAAAAUACACCACCUGUCAUGUCUAAUGUGGUAACGUCUGUGUGUGCAUCCUCAGGGUGAAGCAGGCUUGAAGGGAGCUUUAGGAGAUAGAGGACGUCCAGGCAAUGCGGGCAGCACAGGGAUUCCAGGAGAGGGAGGAGUCCAAGGACAACGAGGACUUAGAGGAGACCCGGGGGCAGCUGGAUCAGACAAUGCGGAGGUGGGACCAAAAGGAGAACUAGGAAACACUGGUAUGCCGG
ensembl:lncRNA